UAGUCUCGCACAGAUGCAUAUCAAUAAGCGGAGGAAAAGAAACUAACAAGGAUUCCCCUAGUAACGGCGAGUGAAGCGGGAAGAGCUCAAAUUUGAAAUCUUAAAGGGUUUCCCUUUACGAAUUGUAGUUUAAAGAAGUGUUUUCUGUUGAGGUUUUGGUAAAAGUUCUUUGGAAUAGGACAUCAUAGAGGGUGAGAAUCCCGUAUUUGACCUUUACUUUCAACUUUGUGAUACACUUUCAAAGAGUCGGAUUGUUUGGGAAUGCAGUCCAAAAUGGGUGGUAAAUUUCAUCUAAAGCUAAAUAUUGGCGAGAGACCGAUAGCGAACAAGUACCGUGAGGGAAAGAUGAAAAGAACUUUGAAAAGAGAGUUAAACAGUACGUGAAAGUUGUCAAAAGGGAAGCGUUUGACACCAGUGUUGUUUUUCUGAAAAUCAAUUAAAGAACUGUUUAUGCUAAGCUGUUUAGACUUUAUCAGCUAUCUGUUUAGUUUUGAGCUUUUCUUUAAUGCACUUUUCAGUUAACAAGUCAACAUCAAUUUCUUUUGCUGUAAAAAAGCUUGAGGAAGGUGGCUUGAGAUUCGUCUUAAGUGUUUAUAGCCUCUUGCCUAUGCAGUCGGAGAGAUUGAGGUCUGCAGCGUUAGAUCCUUCGGGGCUAAAUGCAUUUGUGCUAAGUUAUAGCAUUUCAUAGACAACUUGUUGACUAUGAUUUGUCUUGUAGCUUACACGCUUAUGUUAUUUUACCUACGCUUAGGAUGUUGAUCUGUAGUGCGUGCGC
rnacentral:rRNA from 1 species